rnacentral:rRNA from 1 species
GACGAACGCUGGCGGCGUGCCUAAUACAUGCAAGUCGAACGCUGAAGGAGGAGCUUGCUCUUCUGGAUGAGUUGCGAACGGGUGAGUAACGCGUAGGUAACCUGCCUGGUAGCGGGGGAUAACUAUUGGAAACGAUAGCUAAUACCGCAUAACAGUAGAUGUUGCAUGACAUUUGCUUAAAAGGUGCACUUGCUCCACUACCAGAUGGACCUGCGUUGUAUUAGCUAGUUGGUGGGGUAACGGCUCACCAAGGCGACGAUACAUAGCCGACCUGAGAGGGUGAGCGGCCACACUGGGACUGAGACACGGCCCAGACUCCUACGGGAGGCAGCAGGAGGGAAUCUUCGGCAAUGGACGGAAGUCUGACCGAGCAACGCCGCGUGAGUGAAGAAGGUUUUCGGAUCGUGAAGAUCUGUUGUAAGAGAAGAACGAGUGGGAGAGUGGAAAGUUCACACUGUGACGGUAGCUUACCAGAAAGGGACGGCUAACUACGUG